UGGCUCAGUCAGAGGAGCAUGUGACUCUUAAUCUCAAGGUCAUGAGUUCGAAUCCCGU
rnacentral:tRNA from 1 species